GAUGAACGCUGGCGGCGUGCCUAAUACAUGCAAGUCGAGCGAACGGACGCGACGCUUUCUUCUCGGAUGUUAGCGGCGAAUGGGUGAGUAAAACGUGGAUAACAUACCUAUAUGACUGGCAUAAAUUCGUAAAACUACAGCUAACACCCGACAAUAUUUAGAAUUUCAGGGUUCAAGAGUGAACGUGGGUCAUGCUAUCACGUAGAGAUGGAUCCGCGCUGCAUUAGCUAGGUGGUAAGGUUGCGGCUUACCAAUGAAACGAGACAUAGCCGACCAGAGAGUGUGAUCGGUCUCGCUGGACCUGAGACACGGUCCAGCAUCCUACGAGAGGCAGCAGUAGCGAAUCUUUCGCGGUGGGCGAAAGCCUGACGGUGCAACGCCGCGUGAGAGAUGAAUGUCUUCAGGUCGUAAGACUCUUUUAUUAGGGAAGGUCAUAUGUGUAAGUAACUGGGCACGUCUUGACGGUACCUAAACAGAAAGCCACGGCUAACUACGGUC
rnacentral:rRNA from 1 species